rnacentral:rRNA from 1 species
UGGGGAAUAUUGCACAAUGGGCGCAAGCCUGAUGCAGCCAUGCCGCGUGUGUGAAGAAGGCCUUCGGGUUGUAAAGCACUUUCAGCGGGGAGGAAGGCGAUAAGGUUAAUAACCUCAUCGAUUGACGUUACCCGCAGAAGAAGCACCGGCUAACUCCGUGCCAGCAGCCGCGGUAAUACGGAGGGUGCAAGCGUUAAUCGGAAUUACUGGGCGUAAAGCGCACGCAGGCGGUCUGUCAAGUCGGAUGUGAAAUCCCCGGGCUCAACCUGGGAACUGCAUUCGAAACUGGCAGGCUAGAGUCUUGUAGAGGGGUGUAGAAUUCCAGGUGUAGCGGUGAAAUGCUUAGAGAUCUGGAGGGAUACCGGUGGCGAAGGCGGCCCCCUGGACAAAGACUGACGCUCAGGUGCGAAAGCGUGGGGAGCAAACAGG